AUCCAUCAGCAACUGGUAAAUUUACCCUAUUCCUUUUGCACGAUCGAGCUGUACACUCGAGAAAUUGUGGUCUGCUCGAGAAAGACCAAUCUACUAUGGAUGAGUUGAGGAAGUACGUAAUCUGGGAUUCGGUGCCCAUUCCCCCGAGGAAGAGGAGCACGACUAUGUUGCUCGAGCUAUAUAUAUUCACAAUACAAUAACCUGGGAAGCCGCUAAAACCACCGAAGGGACUCCCCAAGUUAAAGCCAAUCAUUUUUACGGAUAGUCACCUACCGUCCUUAGUGCAAUACCAACUUGUCUCGUCAAGUUUAAGGAUAACCAAAAUAACUUUUAUGUUUGGAAUUGUGUUGAUCUUAUCGCUCAUAGAUUUGACAAUUUGGACCUCGAGAUGGAUUUUAAAGAAGCACUUAACAUUUUCACUCUUCCAGUGAAAAAGGGAAGGAAGCAAGUUGCUGCAAAUGCAGAAUGUUCCUUGAAACAGCCCAAGGCUCUAAGAAAAAUUAAAAGCAAGGAUAAAGAAAAAUCUCAGACUCUUCCAACUUCUUUUAUUGUCAAGAAAUUUCGUGAAUAAGAUUCAAGGUACUAGAAUGUAUAAAGUCUGUUCUAAACUUUGCACAGUUACAUUUGUUUUAAGGAUUCUUAAUAAGGAAAGUUUCGAGGAUGUUGGAGUACAAGAGAAAAAGGCUUUAAUUGCUUUGUAUGAAGCUCAAGGGGCUGCUAACAAGAACUCCACAAACUUAGACUUAAUUGAUGCUGAAAUUCAGACAAGAAGAAAUUAUUUGAGGGUGCACAAGACUUAUCUAUCAUUCCUUAGACAAAAAAAAAAACUAAGAAUGAUUGGAUAAAGGAUGUGAUUCUAAUUCUAAGCUAUUCCACAUUAGCUUAAGAACUAGAAGAAACCAAAAUGUAGUGCCAUUAUUACUAAUGCAUAAGGAAUUUGGGUGGAUAAUCUAGUUGAGGUAAAUAUUGCUUUUAUUUCUUAUUUUUACAACAACUGGGAUCCAAAAUGGAAAAUAGAAGGCAUGUGUUGAGAAAAAUAGUUAAAAAUGAUCCUUGUAUUACUGAAGAAAUUCAGCAUAUACUAAAGAGGAGGUUAAAGAGGCAUUAUUUUCUAUUUCUGAAUCCAAAACCCCAGGCCCUGAUGGUUUCAAAAAUUAUUUAUUUAUGCAUCCUUGGGACAUUAUUGGAGAGGAUUUCACCAAAUCUAUCAUUUUGGUGCUUAAUUCAGGGAAGCUUCUUAAGAAAAUUAUAUGCAACCAUGAUUUGUGGGAGAUUGAAGAAUAUUCUUACAACUAUUAUUGCUCAAAAUCAUGAGGGAUUUAUGCAUGGUAGAUACUUCGCCCAUAAUAUUAUGGGUUGUCAAGAUCGAUUUUAUAAAUGAGUAUCUACAUAAUUAAGAUGUAGAUCUUCCAGAUCGAUUUUAUUGUACCGUCCAGAUCGAUUCUAAGUCGAAUUGAUGAAAGCCUGGUCCUUUAGUGACUAUCGUCCGAAUGGGUCCCCAUAGCUCAUGGCAUGCCGAAUAGACAUGUAGGUCAAGCAGUGCCAUUUGCCGACCAGAAUUACACGCUAAGCGAAGAUAUUCUAAGAUAUUUUUUUAACUGCUUCCUCAAUUAUAACUCAACUAAAUCUCUAUUUUUGUUGGAUUUGAUUAUGUAGUAGAGAAAUUCAUGGGAUUUUAUAUUUGAAUUCCCAUGCCACUUUAUUUCUUUUAUAUCGAGAUUCACAUUUAUUGUUA